rnacentral:rRNA from 1 species
UACUUCAGGAUGGAUUGGUGCCUUCGGGAACUCUGACACAGGUGCUGCAUGGCUGUCAUCAGCUCGUGUCGUGAGAUGUUGGGUUAAGUCCCGUAACGAGCGCAACCCUUGUCCUUAGUUACCAGCACGUUAUGGUGGGCACUCUAAGGAGACUGCCGGUGACAAACCGGAGGAAGGUGGGGAUGACGUCAAGUCAUCAUGGCCCUUACGGCCUGGGCUACACACAUGCUACAAUGGUCGGUACAAAGGGUUGCCAAGCCGCGAGGUGGAGCUAAUCCCAUAAAACCGAUCGUAGUCCGGAUCGCAGUCUGCAACUCGACUGCGUGAAGUCGGAAUCGCUAGUAAUCGUGAAUCAGAAUGUCACGGUGAAUACGUUCCCGGGCCUU